CGACGAAAGGUUUGCUACAUUCAUCUACCUUUUAUUUAUUGUUCAUUUAUGAGAUAGAUAUGUACAAAUGGUAGAUUAGUGGAAUCCUCAACCCCACUAAUGAGAUUUAUUAAUCUAGAGUAUUAGUUAUGUCUAUGUUUUUCAUAAUGAAAUGUAGAUAAAUAAAUAGAACAAACCCGAACGAACUCAUAUCAUAUAUCUCUACCCAAAC
rnacentral:lncRNA from 1 species